rnacentral:tRNA from 1 species
GGGAAGGUGGCUCAGUGGUAGAGCGCUUGCCUUGCAUGCAAGAGGCCCUGGGUUCGAUUCCUCCGCACCA